CUUUGGUCUUAUUUUGUUGGUUUUAGAGACUGAAGUAAUGAUUAAUAGGGAUGGUUGGGGGCAUUCGUAUUUCAUUGUCAGAGGUGAAAUUCUUGGAUUUAUGAAAGACGAACUACUGCGAAAGCAUUUGCCAAGGAUGUUUUCAUUAAUCAAGAACGAAAGUUGGGGGAUCGAAGACGAUCAGAUACCAUCGUAGUCCAACCAUAAACUAUGCCGACUAGGGAUUGGGGGAAGUUUUGUCGGAUGACUCCUUCAGCACCUUACGAGAAAUCAAGAGGUCUUUGGGGUUCCGGGGGGAGUAUGGUCACAAGGCUGAAACUUAAAAGGAAUUGACGGGAAGGGCACCACCAGGAGUGGAGCCUGCGGCUUUAAUUUGACUCAACAACGG
rnacentral:rRNA from 1 species